AAAAACCCAGGUGGUGUGAGAUGGAUCCGCGUCUGAUUAGCCAGUUGGCGGGGUAACGGCCCACCAAAGCGACGAUCAGUAGCCGACCUGAGAGGGUGACCGGCCACAUUGGGACUGAGACACGGCCCAAACUCCUACGGGAGGCAGCAGUGGGGAAUAUUGCACAAUGGGCGCAAGCCUGAUGCAGCGACGCCGCGUGAGUGAAGAAGUAUCUCGGUAUGUAAAGCUCUAUCAGCAGGGAAGAAAAUGACGGUACCUGACUAAGAAGCCCCGGCUAACUACGUGCCAGCAGCCGCGGUAAUACGUAGGGGGCAAGCGUUAUCCGGAUUUACUGGGUGUAAAGGGAGCGUAGACGGCGACGCAAGUCUGGAGUGAAAGCCCGGGGCCCAACCCCGGGACUGCUUUGGAAACUGUGUUGCUGGAGUGCAGGAGAGGUAAGUGGAAUUCCUAGUGUAGCGGUGAAAUGCGUAGAUAUUAGGAGGAACACCAGUGGCGAAGGCGG
rnacentral:rRNA from 1 species